rnacentral:rRNA from 1 species
UGGGGAAUAUUGGACAAUGGGGGCAACCCUGAUCCAGCGAUGCCGCGUGAGUGAAGAAGGCCUUCGGGUCGUAAAGCUCUUUAGGUUGGGACGAAGUUUGGCUGAGGAUAAUGCAGUCAAGUUGACGGUACCGACAGAAUAAGCACCGGCAAACUCUGUGCCAGCAGCCGCGGUAAUACAGAGGGUGCAAGCGUUAAUCGGAGUUACUGGGCGUAAAGGGCGCGUAGGCGGUAAGAUGAGUGCGAUGUGAAAGCCCCGGGCUUAACCUGGGAAGUGCAUCGUAAACUAUCUAACUGGAGUAGAUGAGAGGGUGGCGGAAUUUCCGGUGUAGCGGUGAAAUGCGUAGAGAUCGGAAGGAACGUCAAUGGCGAAGGCAGCCACCUGGCAUCAUACUGACGCU